rnacentral:rRNA from 1 species
AAGUCGUAACAAGGUUUCCGUAGGUGAACCUGCGGAAGGAUCAUUACCGAGGAACGCGCCUGAUUCCAGGCGACCUCUCACACAAUGCGUAUAUCAAACGUGUUUUAUUUUUAAACAAAAUUUAAAACUUUCAACAACGGAUCUCUUGGUUCUGGCAUCGAUGAAGAACGCAGCGAAAUGCGAUAAGUAAUGUGAAUUGCAGAAUUCAGUGAAUCAUCGAAUCUUUGAACGCACAUUGCGCCCUCUGGUAUUCCGGAGGGCACACCUGUUCGAGCGCCGUAGUACAACUAAGGCUCUGCCUUGCGUUGAUCCUGUCCCAGCCUUUCGGUGAUGGACGUGAUCGAAACCCUUGUGGCGCCGCCUCGUGGCCGGCUAUGCGCAACAGCAAAAGCCAGUCUCGAAGGUAGCCGCCUGUUUUUACAGCACGCUUGGCCUCGGAUCAGGUGGGGAUACCCGCUGAACUUAAGCAUAUCAAUAAGCGGAGGAAAAGAAACCAACAGGGAUUGCCUCAGUAACGGCGAGUGAAGCGGCAACAGCUCAGAUUUGAAAUCCGGCUUCUUAGCCCGAGUUGUAAUCUGCAGAGGUGCGUUCGGCCGAGGCGCCGGUCCAAGUUUCCUGGAACGGAACGUCGCAGAGGGUGAGAACCCCGUACGCGGUCGGCAGCCGACGCCAUGUGAACGCCCUUCGACGAGUCGAGUUGUUUGGGAAUGCAGCUCAAAGCGGGUGGUAAAUUCCAUCUAAAGCUAAAUAUUGGCCAGAGACCGAUAGUGCACAAGUAGAGUGAUCGAAAGAUGAAAAGCACUUUGGAAAGAGAGUCAAACAGUACGUGAAAUUGUUGAAAGGGAAGCGCUCGCGACCAGACUCGCGCGUGGUUGCUCAGCCGGUUUUGCGACCGGUGCACUCUUCCACGCUCGGGCCAGCAUCGAUUUGGGCGGCUGGACAAAGGCUUGGGGAACGUGGCUCCCUUCGGGGAGUGUUAUAGACCCUUGCAUAAUACAGCCAGCCUGGACCGAGGACCGCGCAUCUGCCAGGAUGCUGGCGUAAUGGUUGCUAGCGGCC